AUUGAACGCUGGCGGCAGGCUUAACACAUGCAAGUCGAGCGGAGAGAGGUAGCUUGCUACUGAUCUUAGCGGCGGACGGGUGAGUAAUGCUUAGGAAUCUGCCUAUUAGUGGGGGACAACAUUUCGAAAGGAAUGCUAAUACCGCAUACGUCCUACGGGAGAAAGCAGGGGAUCUUCGGACCUUGCGCGAAUAGAUGAGCCUAAGUCGGAUUAGCUAGUUGGUGGGGUAAAGGCCUACCAAGUCGACGAUCUGUAGCGGGUCUGAGAGGAUGAUCCGCCACACUGGGACUGAGACACGGCCCAGACUCCUACGGGAGGCAGCAGUGGGGAAUAUUGGACAAUGGGCGGAAGCCUGAUCCAGCCAUGCCGCGUGUGUGAAGAAGGCCUUACGGUUGUAAAGCACUUUAAGCGAGGAGGAGGCUACUUUAGUUAAUACCUAGAGAUAGUGGACGUUACUCGCAGAAUAAGCACCGGCUAACUCUGUGCCAGCCGCCGCCGUAAAAC
rnacentral:rRNA from 1 species